UACGGGGGGGCAAGCGUUGUUCGGAAUUACUGGGCGUAAAGGGCUUGUAGGUGGCCAACUAAGUCAGACGUGAAAUCCCUCAGCUUAACUGGGGAACUGCGUCUGAUACUGGAUGGCUUGAGAUUGGGAGAGGGACGCGGAAUUCCAGGUGUAGCGGUGAAAUGCGUAGAUAUCUGGAGGAACACCGGUGGCGAAGGCGGCGUCCUGGACCAACACUGACACUGAAAAGCGAAAGCCAGGGGAGCAAACGG
rnacentral:rRNA from 1 species